rnacentral:lncRNA from 1 species
UGUUUUAAGAUGUCUUCACUGGAAAGAACCCAAGCUAAAAACAGAAGUCAGGAGUCCAUAGCCUUUAUAUGUGCAACAGGAAGUAGUGGACAAGCAGAGACAAAGAGGUGCUGUCAAGUACCUGGAGGGGAAGAAAAAUGUGAAGGUGAAGAGGUAGAGAAUUGGGCCACAGAUAACAAAUACAAUGUUUCUGUACAAAGCGAUCAAGACAGCUUCUCUAAGGAAUACUAUUUGAUGUGA